rnacentral:rRNA from 1 species
ACGAACGCUGGCGGCGUGCUUAACACCUGCAAGUCGCACGGAAAGGCCCUGCUUUUGUGGGGUGCUCGAGUGGCGAACGGGUGAGUAACACGUGAGUAACCUGCCCUUGACUUUGGGAUAACUUCAGGAAACUGGGGCUAAUACCGGAUAGGAGCUCCUGCUGCAUGGUGGGGGUUGGAAAGUUUCGGCGGUUGGGGAUGGACUCGCGGCUUAUCAGCUUGUUGGUGGGGUAGUGGCUUACCAAGGCUUUGACGGGUAGCCGGCCUGAGAGGGUGACCGGCCACAUUGGGACUGAGAUACGGCCCAGACUCCUACGGGAGGCAGCAGUGGGGAAUAUUGCACAAUGGGCGGAAGCCUGAUGCAGCAACGCCGCGUGCGGGAUGACGGCCUUCGGGCUGUAAACCGCUUUCGCCUGUGACGAAGCGUGAGUGACGGUAAUGGGUAAAGAAGCACCGGCUAACUACGUG